AGCAAUACAUGGCGUACUGCUCAGUAACACGUGGACAACCUACCCUUAGGAUGGGGAUAAACCCGGGAAACUGGGUAUAAUACCCGAUAGUCCUCGAACGCUGGAAUGCAUCGAGGACUAAAGCUCCGGCGCCUAAGGAUGGGUCUGCGGCCUAUCAGGUAGUAGUGGGUGUAGCGUACCUACUAGCCUACGACGGGUACGGGUUGUGAGAGCAAGAACCCGGAGAUGGAUUCUGAGACACGAAUCCAGGCCCUACGGGGUGCAGCAGGCGCGAAAACUUUACAAUGCUGGAAACAGCGAUAAGGGGACCUCGAGUGCCAGGUUACAAAUCUGGCUGUCGUGAUGCCUAAAAAGCAUUGCAUAGCAAGGGCCGGGCAAGACCGGUGCCAGCCGCCGCGGUAACACCGGCGGCCCGAGUGGUAACCGUUAUUAUUGGGUCUAAAGGGUCUGUAGCCGGCCGGAUAAGUCUCUUGGGAAAUCUGGCAGCUUAACUGUCAGGCUUUCAGGAGAUACUGUCUGGCUCGAGGCCGGGAGAGGUGAGAGGUACUUCAGGGGUAGGGGUGAAAUCUUGUAGUCCUUGAAGGACCACCAGUGGCGAAGGCGUCUCACCAGAACGGACCUGACGGCAAGGGACGAAAGCUAGGGGCACGAACCGGAUUAGAUACCCGGGUAGUCCUAGCCGUAAACGAUACUCGCUAGGUGUCGGCAACGGUGCGACCGUUGUCGGUGCCGUAGGGAAGCCGUGAAGCGAGCCACCUGGGAAGUACGGCCGCAAGGCUGAAACUUAAAGGAAUUGGCAGGGGAGCACCACAACGGGUGGAGCUUGCGGUUUAAUUGGAGUCAACGCCGGAAAGGGC
rnacentral:rRNA from 1 species